rnacentral:misc_RNA from 1 species
UUUUAAUCUGUUAAUCCAUUUUUUUUCACUGAUGAAACAUCAAGGCGAUUAUUCAAUUAUCCAUGCCAAGCGCUCAUCAUAAAAAUUAAAAAAUGGAUUAACAGAUUAAAAAAAUGAUAGACAGAUUUUAUUAACAGACCUGCACUACACCUGCUUGAAAUCAUCAGAGAAUCUCUAAUGACCAACUUUUUGUUGCCAAACUAGAAACAAAAUUAUGGCUACAAGGAAUAAAAUCAAUCUGCACCUCUGAUUUG